GGCUCCAUAGCUUCAGUGGACAGAGUGCUGGUCUACGAACCAGAGGUCGCCGAGUUCGAUCCUCGCUGGAGUCG
rnacentral:tRNA from 1 species